ensembl:miRNA
GGUGGAGUGGAGGAGGCGUGGUUUAACUUCUCCCAGCCUCAGUUUGCUCAUCUGUUAAGUGGAGAGAGGUAUAUCUACCUCUGAGGGCUUUUGCAGGGAGCAAGGGGGAGGUCCCGCGUGAAUGUACGUCGCCACCGUCAUCA